GUUGCGGGAGCUUUCCAUGCAAGUCGAACGGCAGCACGAGAGAGCUUGCUCUCUUGGUGGCGAGUGGGGGACGGGUGAGUAAUAUAUCGGAACGUGCCUAGUAGCGGGGGAUAACUACUCGAAAGAGUGGCUAAUACCGCACACGCCCUACGGGGGAAAGGGGGGGAUCGCAUGACCUCUCACUAUUGGAGCGGCCGAUAUCGGGUUGUGUUUUUGGUUGGUUGCGGGUUUACGUGUGGUACGCUCCGAGCUGGUUUGUGUGGAGGACCAGCCAAUUGACUGAACCGGCUUGAUCCUACGAGCAGCAUGGAUUUUGACGAUUGGGGCAUCUGAUCAGGCUUCGGCGUGUAUGUGAUGCCUCGGGUGUCAGUUACUUUUGCAGAGAGAUAUGGUAGUCUAUACUAGUAGUGCUGACGUAUCUGCAGCAUAGCACUGGCUUACUACGUGCCAGCAGCGCGUAGUACGUAGGGUGCUAGCGUUAUCGUAUUACUGGGCGUAAGCGUGUGUAGGCGGUUCGGAGAGAAAGAUGUGAAAUGCCACGGCUCAACCUUGGAACUGCAUUUUAACUGCCGAGCUAGAGUAUGUCAGAGGGGGGUAGCAUUCCACGUGUAGCAGUGAAAUGCGUAAUAUGUGGAGGCAUACCGAUGGCGAAGCGCCCCCUGGGAUAAUACUGACGCUCAACACGAUAGCGUGGGGAGCAAACAGGAUUCGAUACCCUGGUAGUCCACGCCCUAAACGAUGUCAACUAGCUGUUGGGGCCGUUAGGCUUUAGUAGCGCAGCUAACGCGUGAAGUUGACCGCCUGGGGAGUACGGUCGCAAGAUUAAAACUCAAGGAAUUGACGCGGACCCGCACAAGCGGUGGAUGAUGUUGAUUAAUUCUAUGCAACGCGACAAACCUUACCUACCUUGACAUGUCUGGUACCCGAAUAGAUUUGGGAGUGCUCGCAAGAGAACCGAGCACAGUGCUGCAUGGCUGUUUCAGCUCGUGUCGUGAAUGUUGGUUAGUCCCGCAACGACCUACCUUGUCAUUAGUGCUACGCAGAGCACUCUAUGAACUGCGUGACACGAGGAAGGUGGGAUGACGUCAGUCUCAUGGCCUUUAUGUAGCUUCACCUCAUACAAUGGUCGGUACCGAGGGUCGCCAAUCUGCGGGGUGUAUCUCUUGUCUGCAACCCGAUCGUAGUCCGGAUCGCAGUCUGCAACUCGACUGCGUGAAGUCGGAAUCGCUAGUAAUCGCGGAUCAGAAUGUCGCGGUGAAUACGUUCCCGGGUCUUGUACACACCGCCCGUCACACCAUGGGAGUGGGUUUCACCAGAAGUAGGUAGCCUAACCGUAAGGAGGGCGCUACCACGGUUGAUCAGG
rnacentral:rRNA from 1 species